UCUUUUGAUUCUUUUGAACUUGCAACUGCAGACUGGGGCAAGACGUGCACACAGACUGAAAGCAGUGGCAAGCAAUGAAGUUUGCCCAUCUACAGUUUUCAUGACUUUUUGGAAACAGAUGAGCAACUUUUACAAGUGUCUCCCUCUCAAAUUUCCGGUGAAAUGAAUAAUGUCAGCUGAGCUCGUAAAUCUGUUUCCCUCUGAAGGGGGAGGAAGGCACCACAGCCACGGGAGCGCUGCUGGAGAGGCUGAGGAGGAUGCCACAGCAAUUAGGCUGAGUAAUUACAGCAAUUUCCCUUGAUUCCUCCUCUCUUUCCCUGGCAAGGUGAUCCUCCACUGCCAAGGCAGCCUUUCUGAAGAGGAUUUCCUUCAACGCAUGCCUCUUUUCAGAAGCAGCAAGUCUGUAAUGGUGACUUCAGGAUGAGGCCUUCUGCAGCUUACAGGUUCUGUCCCUUUAUUUUUGGGGCCUCACAUAGAAGAGAACUGAACCCAGAGUCCAGCUGGGACAGGUCCCAGCUUCCUUCUUGUGCCAAAGAAACAGUGGUCAGCUUGGAGAGGACCUGCCAAAAUCAAACCAUUUCUUGAGCUCCUCCAUUUUCAAGAUGAGCUUUCACAAGGCUAGGUUUCAUGCCACCUGCAUCAGGACCUUCUGCUUACAAUCAGGCUAGACAACCUAAGGAACAGCCCUCUGGCCUUUUGGAACCUCUGCUUCCCAUGCUGGCGAGGGGAUGUGGGAGGAAGGACAGAUUUACUGGCAGAAAGAGAAGGCAAGUGACUGAAAGGGGAGGAGGGC